rnacentral:rRNA from 1 species
AACGAACGCUGGCGGCAGGCCUAACACAUGCAAGUCGAACGCACCGCAAGGUGAGUGGCGCACGGGUGAGUAACACGUGGGAAUGUACCCUUUGGUUCGGAAUAACGUUUGGAAACGAACGCUAAUACCGGAUGAGCCCUGCGGGGGAAAGAUUUAUCGCCAAAGGAGCAGCCCGCGUCUGAUUAGGUAGUUGGUGGGGUAAAGGCCUACCAAGCCGACGAUCAGUAGCUGGUCUGAGAGGAUGAUCAGCCACACUGGGACUGAGACACGGCCCGGACUACUACGGGAGGCAGCAGUGGGGAAUAUUGGACAAUGGGCGCAAGCCUGAUCCAGCCAUGCCGCGUGAGUGAUGAAGGCCUUCGGGUUGUAAAGCUCUUUCGCACACGACGAUGAUGACGGUAGUGUGAGAAGAAGCCCCGGCUAACUUCGUGCCAGCCGCCGCGGUAAGAC